GGCAACCUUUGAACCUGGAGGUUGUGUAACUAGUAAACUGCCCCAGAAGUGAUGCAUAACUCCUGACUGGGAGGAAUGAACAUAAAUGGUGGCCCUCCCUGAUAAAAUUGAGGGUGAGUAAUUCAACUUUGCUCUGGGGUCGGUUGUGACUGAAUGAUCCGAGUAAGCGUAAUGCAGAGAAAUAGCAAAAUCAUCGGGCAAAAGAUGUGGGACAUAAUAUUCAGGUGAAAGAUUAGGAAAGACUUGGGAAGAAUGAUCUAAAAUUUACAGCCUGUACCUUACUUAAAGAGAAUUAUAUGAAAAUGAUAUAUAGGUGGUAUUUAACACCAGUUAAAUUGGCAAAUAUAUAUAAAAAUAAAUGUUGGAAAUGUAAAGAAAUAGAAGGUAUGUUUCAUCAUAUGCGGUGGCAGUGUAAGGUUAUUAAAAAAUUCUGGGAAAUGAUAUAUAAUGAAUUGAAAGAAAUGUUAAGAAUAACCUUUGUUAAAAAUCCAGAAGCCUUUCUAUUGGGUAGUACAGGAAUGGAUCUACCUAAAGAAUAUAAGAAUUGAUUUAUGUAUGCAACAACAGCUGCCUGGAUAUUGCCAGCCUAACAUUGGAAAGAAGAAGAAGUCCACACCAAAGAAGAUUGGCAAAUUAAAUUAAUGGAGUAUGCUGAAACGGCUAAAUUAACUGGGAAACUUAGAAAUCAAGAUGACAACAAAUAUAAAAAAGAAUGGAAAAUGUUUAUUGCAUAUUUACAAAAGCAAUGUACACAAGUUAAUACAUUAGCAGAAUUUUAAAUAACACUUGUAAUAUUAUAGACAAUGUAGCAAAAUUGGAAGUAAUCAGAGAUAAAGACUUUAUUGACAUGUGUGAAUGCAAAUAUUAUAAAGAAACCAAGGGAGAGGGUGGAGGAAAGUUCAGGGCAUACUAUGGAUUUAAUAUGGAUUGUAUAUACAGUUGUUUUAAAUGUUUUAUUUUAUGCCUUUUUUAUGUAGUUUUUGUUUUUUGUGAAAAUUAAUAAAAUUAUUACACAAAAGAGAGAGGGGAAAAAAUAGCAAAAUUAUCAGAGGAGGCUGUCUGGAGGGGCCCAAGCGCAGGACAGUGAAUUGCCUAGAGAGGCAACAAGAAGUCUCCUCUGCAGAAGCAGUAUUUGAGUUUACAGGUUAUUUGGGUUAUUUAGGCAGGAGCAGAGGGAAGCCACAACACUAGGUUCCUUGCAGGGACACUGCCACUUAUCAGGGUGGGUUGGCAGUGGAAUUCUAUCCACUCGGCAAGCUAUUUCUGUCCUCUUGGGCCACACUAACCUAAAAAUACAGGCACGCCCUCUGCAAGUUAUUAUGAGUCACACAGCACUCUUUAUCGUGCAACACUGAGAAUUAGCAGCCUGUCCAUUCUUCUGGACUACACUCGGAAUGUAACUCACAAACAUCUGGCCUUUUGUGCCAAUGGAAGCUGGCUCAGUAAAAAGCUAUGGGCUUGUCCAUAUUUUCAUGUAAUCCACUGUAUUAAAUUCACACUGAAUAGCUGGAACUCCCUGUGUUGGUCCUGUGGCCAUCCUCUUUCCACACCGCAACAAAGGGACAACUACAUACAAUUUCCAGUUCUUGCUUCGGUGCACCCAGGAGGCAGACAGUAGCUUAUCUUUCCUUUCCUUUCUUUUUUCCAUACAAAGCAAUGACAACAAAGGAGAAAUUAUUGUGGGAAAGGAGCUAUGUUUUCUCCCCGGUUUUCAAAAGCAUCUGUAGGAAGCUUGAGAGCAAAGCAACCAAUAGUUGUGGUGUGGUCUCAGCAGGUUUCGUCUUCGUCUUCCUAGCAGGAAAGCACCAUCCCUGUCCUACUGAGAUUUUGAAUUUUGAGCUAAUUUCCACUAGUCGGAGUUGCAAAGCUUUUAACUGAGAGCAUUAGUAAACAAGAAGCCAUUCACGCUGUGAAUUUUUGCAAGAGUCAACUUCAUUUAUGUGUGUUUUCAAGAACUUCUGUUCUACCGUGCCAUGCAAGUGGCUUACUGCAAAUGCCUUGCUUAGAAAGAGGGCAGGUCUAUGUCUCACUUUGCAAUGGUUCUUAGGCCAUAGGUGGAUGAGCCAUCGCUGAGAUAGCAAGGGAGCUAAGGAAGACUCAAAUGGGGAAGGGACAGAGUUCAGAUGCAGAGCAUCUGACUUGCCUUCAAAAGACCUAGGUUCAAUUUCUGGUAUCUCCAGGCAGGGCUAGGGAAAGUUCUUGCAUUGGGGAUCUAGUGUCAGUCAAUGUAGACUGGGAUCAGCAAACUUUUUCAGCCAUGGGCCUGUUCGCUGUCCCUCAGACCAUGUGGUGGGCCAGACUAUAUUUUGAAAAAAUAAUAAUAAACGAAUUCCUAUGCCCCACAAAUAACCCAGAGAUGCAUUUUAAAUAAAAGCACACAUUCUACUCAUGUAAAAUCACGCUGAUUCCCGGACCAUCCAUGGGCCAGAUUGAGAUGGCGAUCUGGCCCCUGGGCCUUAGAUUGCCUACCCCGGUGUAGACAAUAUUUUUUUCUGCUUUUUUAUUUUGAUUGUUUUUUAUUGAAGAUUUUCUUAGUUUACAAAAGUACAUGCAUUGUCUUUAUUUCAGGUUAUGUUCUCUACAGAUCUAUUACAUUUGGUGUGAGACAUUAGAGUUAUAUGCAGUAUAAGGCUGGGAAGAAAAAGAGGGGGGAAAGAGGCACUGGUGGAGAAAAGGGGGUGUGGUGGGGGUGGUCUGCCCCUGGUGUCAUCCCUAAGGGGUGUGUGAAAUUGCCGCAGGAGUCGCCCCCCAGGACGCCCCCCACCCUGGCACACACCCCCUGGGACAUGCGCCGUAGCACCCCAAGGGCGGCUAGCCCUUCCCCCGUGGGCUGCUCUGGGUGCCAUAGCAGCUAUCGCUGCCUCUGGAGAGAGGGGGUGGUGUGGUAAAGCUUAUAUUUCUUUACUUACUGUAUGUGUGGGGUUUAGUGUCAACAUCACUUGGGUAAGUUCUCAUUCUAUUCGCUUGUUAUAUUUCCUUGGUAGUGAGAGAAGUUGGGGGUGGCUGCAGUGAGAUUUGCUUGGGGUGGGUGGGUCAAGUUAGCCAUGUUGAUUUGUAUGCUGUCGGUGGAUUCCUGUUGUUGUCUUUUGGGUCUGUGUAUGUGAUAAAGAAGGGACGCGGGUGGUGCUGUGGGUUAAACCACAGAACCUAGGACUUGCUGAUCAGAAGGUCGCCGGUUCGAAUCCCCGCGAUGGGGUGAGCUCCCGUUGCUCGGUCCCUGCUCCUGCCAACCUAGCAGUUCGAAAUCACAUCAAAGUGCAAGUAGAUAAAUAGGUACUGCUCCGGCGGGAAGGUAAAUGGCUUAGUCAUGCUGGCCACAUGACCCGGAAGCUGUAUGCCGGCUCCCUUGGCCAAUAAAGUGAAAUGAGUGCCGCAACCCCAGAGUCGGUCAAGACUGGGCCUAAUGGUCAGGGGUCCCUUUACCUUUACCUUUAUGUGAUAAAGGGGAGUCAUACUGGAGUGAAGACGUCCUCUUCCAUUUCCCCCCGUAUCAGUUUCUGUUUGUUUUUUUUAAAAUGAUAUUUAUUGGAAUUUUUUUUUUUUAAAUUACAAAAGAGAACAAAGUAGAAAAAGAAAAAAGAAAAAGCAAAGAAAAAAACAAACCACAUCAAACAAUACAAAUUCAAAAAAACAAAAAUACACCACAAACAUUUAAAAACAAAUCCAUUAUUCUCAAAUCCUCAACUGUCAUUACCUUCUUUCUUUGACCUCCUCCUCCUCCCUUUUUUGUAUCCUAGUUGUUAAUUGUCGCAGCAAAUCCUUUCCAUAUUUCAUAAUAUUCUGUCAUUACAUUACCUUAAACUAUUUUAAUCUUAUCUUACUAUAAAAACCUUGAAACUUAAAACUUAAAUCUUAUUUUUACCAACUUCUCAUAACCAUAAUAUUCUUACAUAAUUCUUUACACAUUUUUACUAAAGCCAAGUAAUUUCAUUCCAACAUUUUUCUAACAUUCAUCAAUUUUAUAAAACAAUCCUAGUAGUAAAAAAAGAAAUAAAAACAAUCCAGGAUCAGGACGGUGGAAAGUUACUUUACUUUACCCUCACUUCUGCAGGUUUAAACAGUCCGAAAAAAUCCCCCCUCUUCUCCUGCUUCCGAAGGGCGUUCAACAAUUUUAAAUGAUGAAAGUUAAUCUUUUACAGGCGAUUUUCUGAGCUCUAGUUUGCCAUGUGUUUGCUUUAAUCUAUCUACAAAGAAACGGAAGGCUGACUUCCUGUUUAGACCUUCCCGUUUCAGUGCCAAAUUGAGGUAAACUUUUAAGUCCAAUUUUCCUUUCUGCUCACAAGUCCUUAUUUAAAAUCCAAUUGUCCGAAUUUAGGUACUCACGGGUGAUUAUUUUAGAAGCCAAAUUGUCCCAGGAAAAAGGCAGCGCUCUCCAGCAACGGCUGUGCAGCUUCGCUCCACGGAAGAAGCAGUUGACUCUCAGCACCGCGCCACUUCCCCCUCUUUGCUCCAGAGCCCGUUAAUGGGUUCUUUUGCGGGUUGGGGGGGCGCUAAGGGUGCCCGCCGAGUCCCAUGGUCACAGGCUUCAUCCGCCUGUCAUUUUUGAAAGGGUCCCCGCUUCACCGUAGCAGAAAAGACCCGUUUCGCGUGGAGCUAGUCCCUCCAGAUCAGAGGGAGUCGCCAUUGCCGAUGGCGCCACCCCGGAAGUCCCCCGUAUCAGUUUCUGAACUGUAGACAUUAAUGAAACAUAUGGACCAAUGUUCUGACUCAGUAUAAGGUGGCUGCAUAGGUUACAUGUUUCUCACUACCACACAUCAACUAGAAUAAAGUGAGUAAUUCAGUGUGUUCCUGCAUAAAUUGUGUUCUUGAGUCAUAGGAUGACUGGAUUUACAAAGAACAUUUGGGGCCAAUAGUCAUGCAGAGUGAGACAUAAAAUAGAACAGUCCAUUGGUCCUGUCCCAAAUUUUUGAUGGAUGAGGCAGACACUUUUUUGACUUAAAAAGGGAAUAAUUGCUCUUCUAAAUUGCUCUUUUUGCAUUCUAAAACGUAUCUAAGUGUUCUUUUUCCAUUCUAAAACGUAUCUAAGUGUUCAAUGCUGUGCAUGUUUACUCAGGGUCCUCUCAGAUAAGUCUAUUUUUAUAGGUUGGGGGGAUUCACCUAACUCUAGAAAUUAACAAAUGGUAGGAUUUUAUUGAGAUAUAAAGGAGGAAUCCAUGGGCUAGAACUAUGCAAAAUGAUCUGGCAAGCUUGGGGUGGAACAAGCCUCUCUUGAGAUGACCAUGCUGUAAGAUAUGGACCUCCUCCAUCUAAACUAAGGUGUGAAUUUGUGAAUUUCGGUUUCAGAAGUGUAGACAAUAAUGAAACAUCUGGACCAAUGUUCUGAAUCAGUCUGUGGUGGCUUCAUGUGUUACAUGCUCCACACCACCACACAUCAACAAGGUUUCACUUUGGGAAGGCAUGCCAGGGGAGUGUGGAGUCAUCUGCUACACCACUUCUAUGUUACGACUUAUUUAGUCUCAGAGAACCCAUCCUUUACGUGGUAGAAAGCUGAGGGAUCAGAUCUUUGGCACAAAGAAUGCGAAUGAGUAAUAUCAAUACAAUCACUGGAUAUUUCCGGGGGGGGGGAUAUCUUUCUCCCUCCACGCUUUCUCCGCUCUCUCCUUUAAACUCAUACACAUCCUCUUGGCACAUUUUCAUGUACUUUCACUUUCGCAUUCAACACAUUUUUCGCAUUCGACGAGGCACGGCGGUGUUUUGAAUUCUGGCACAGAUGGAUGUCUCCACUAACAGGAUAAACAUUUGAAGUGGCACUUGCUGAAUGAUUGACACUGGUUAUACAGUAAGUUCUUAUUCUGUCAGACUUUGGCAUGUCAUUAGGUGUCAGAGUUAAUCUUCUGCCAGCCAUUUGACAGGAUUUUACUUAGUGCCUGAUGCCAGUUUCUAAAAAGUGUGCAUGAUUAAGGCUGCAUACAAAUUACAUUUGUUCAGUUGAAUAACAUACUGGUUAUAUAUUUGGAAAGGAGAUAGAAUUAUCCUAACAAUGGGUCUCACCAUAGAGAGCUUUAUGGAAUAUUGUAUCUAUUGUCAGGGCCAUGAAUAUCUUCUCCAAAUAUGGACUUCCAGUUUUCUCCACAUCAGUCCAAGUCUGGCGUUGGAGAGUUGCUAGAAGAUAUUGAUCACUCAACCAGGAAGAACUCUGAGUAUUUAUACCAGGCCUGGCCAAACCGUAGGGUAUUGCCAGAUAACUAUGCCUCUGAAUAUUCAUGUCCUGCUUGUGGACUUCCAUAGGCAUCUGGUUGGUCAAUAUAAGAACAGAAUGAUGAACUAGUUAGAUAUUUGCUCUGAUCCAUACAUAGUCCUAGGGAGUUCACUCAGCUAGGUUCCAGCCCAGGGCAGCCCAACUUUGGUCUCAUAUCUGUCAUAUUUGAGUAAGUUCAUGAUGAUUUUGCAGUGCAUGCUUGUCUUUAUAUGAGCCAAAUUUAUUGCUGCAGAUUAGCUCUGAAAAAGCUAUUUGCAAUGAAGGAAAGCAUUAAAAUAUCCUUGGCUUUCAUUAGUCAAGUGGCAAGAAGGAUGAAGUCAUCAAGAUAAGGGAAUAAUCUAUAAGAUUGUUUAGAUAUUUUAAAUUUAGCAGGUAUGAACCUGGUUUUCAAGCUAACUCCUAAGCACCAAUUGUUCUUCCAUGUCAGAAGCCACUAAAUUCAUGCUGAAGGUAUUAUUACCUAGAAGAUCCUGGACAAAAAACUACAAAAUUUAGGAGGCAAUUAUCUUCCACCAAAAACAACAGAGAUGGAGAAGAAUCUUGUUCAAUUUGGAUUUUAAAGUAAACUAAGCUAAUUCAGUUUCUGAUACAUAUUUGAAUGCAGUUAACAAUCAUAUUGUGUACUUCUCCAGAUUUUGCAAUUAGGUUUAGUUUUUUUAAUAAAAUGCUAGGGAGAAUGUGUAGGAAAGCAAACAAAACUGAGUAUUUUAUAGCAGAAAUGUGUGAAAAAAUGCAUAUUUUAUGGGACAAUGUGUGAAAAUAUGUACAACCUAUAUGCACUUUUAAUGUGUGUGUUUUUUUAAAAAAAAAAUUGUAGAAAAUGGGAUAGAACUGACUUGUGUUUGAAUGCAUGCAAAGGUAGCACAGUAUAGAAAUAGGCUAAUAUGCCCAUCCCUAGUUUUAGGUCCACUUCAGAAUGAACUACAAGGCUCCAAUCCACUGGCCCUGAGAUUACUACUGAACUCAGAAUUGAUUGUAUUGUAAAGGACAUUGUCUCAGGUAUGGGUGCAAAAGAACCACCAACAUUCUUCAGAAGUGCUAUGCUUUUUGCAGAUUCUCCCAAAUUAUUUCCAGGCAAAGAAUUGUUUUCCAUUGUCAUCCACCAGAAAAAAAACAGUAUCAAUAAUACUGAGACAUAAUGGCAGAUCCUCCAAGUGUCCCUACUUUCCAGGGAUGUCCCUGAUUUAGAGAAACCGUUCUGGUUUCUGAUUUGAUCAUGGAAUGUCCCACGUUUCCUUAGGAUGUCCCUAUUUUCAUUGGAUAAAUGUUGAAGGCUGUGGAGUUAUCCAACCCCGAGCCUUCUGAAGGCAAUUCUGUAUAGGAAAGGUGUGUUCUUUGAAAAAUGUUUAAUGUUUUAUUAUGUUUUUAUAUAUGUUGGAAGCUGCCCAGAGUGGCUGAGGAAACCCUGUUAGAUGUGUGGGGUAUAAAUAGUAAAAUUAACAUUACGGAGUGGGACAUCCCUACUUUCAUCAGAGAAAUGUUGGAAGGUAUGUAAUAGAAAUGAUAAAACACAAAAAUCUUGUGUCAAAUGGUAAUAAAGCACACAAAACAGGGCAUGACACAGGCUAAAUAAGAACAGAGGCUGUUGCCCUGCGUAUGUUAUGGACUACAAUUAUCAUAAGUCCUAGCCUGUACAGGCCAGUGACGAUGGGAAUUGCAGUCCAAAAUAUAUCAAGGACACCAGGUUGAGGGCAUCUGGGAGACACCAUGAUGAGUUCUCUUUAAUUGGCACCAUUUUAUAGCACAGUAUACAGCAGUUAACAUAAUUCAACAAGUAUAUUGGAAUUUCAGAACAACAGUCGUAUAAUUGCCUUGAUUAAAAGAGUUUCUUCCAAACCCCAGAACUGGAACCAGAAGACAGAGUUGACAAAAUUACAUUACACUCCUAAUAAUGUCUUAGGGUGAAGAUUCUGUCAGAGCAUUUUUUCUGCCUACAGGUCUGUGAACAAAUUAAAUAACUAUUUUACUGGAGGCUGUGGCAUCAAAGAGGGUUUUUAUAGGUUGGGUUUUUUUGUUUUUUUAAAAAAGUAUAGUUAACUGCUUUCCAUAUCAAAGCAUGUAGAAGUUGACAUCAACAGGGGUGGAGAAGCUUAUAAUCAGGAGAAAUUUUUCAGGUUUAUGAGUGUGCAAAAUGUUCUCUCUAUUUGCAUCAAGCUAUUAGCAAACUGUUUAUGUAUGUAUUUAUGCAUCGCCUUUAUAUCCUGCUGUUCUUUUAAAGAGCUGCAGGCAAUAUACAUGGGAUUUUUACAAGUUGUGAAGCUGCUUAGAUGACCUUGGUUCAGUUACCAUGCCUUCGCCCAAAUCUACCUUACAUGGCUGUUGUGCUCCUGGCAGGUAGGCUGAGACAUGGGGUCUGACCCAAGGUCACACAGUCAGAUUCAUGACUGUGUGGGGAUUGAAUCAUGGCCCCCCCAUUGCUCAGGUCUUGCCCUCUGACCAUGGUACACCACACUGAAUUUCUUCUUUUAGCAAAGUGCUGAUGUUUGGUAGAACAAGUCCUAUCGGACAGUCCCUAUCUUCUCUGUGUGAAUGAAAGGAUUUGUCCUAAUAAGCAUCAUGUAUUGAGGGGGGAAUAAAAGAUGAAAGACAAAGCUGUUCGGUAUUCAUCAAACCUGCUACAGUAUUUCCAGAGCUAUCGCUACUAAGAAAUCUAAGAAUUAAAUGUACAGCUCUUUUUACUGGACUUUCCAGGGCAAUUAUGUGUUUAUUUUACCUCAGCAAAGCAACAUGUUUUCUUUGGACACCCUAUUUCUCUAACUGAGGAUUUAAAAAGCAACAACAACAAAGGGAUUUGGGUGAAUAUUGUUGCAUUGGCAUACUGCAGGGAUUCUCAGACUUCCUAUGUGCUUCAGAUGGCUGAAAAUUACUGAGGCCCACCAGUCUCAAAAUGGCGGCAGAUGGAGGCAGAGUUUGGCAUAACCAGCUGGCAAUUACAGACAUCUGAUAUCUAAUCCACCUUUGGAAAUGGCUAAAUUCUUUGCUGCUGAGAUUUCCCUAUGUCAAGGAGUCCCAUAGCUCAGCUUUCCACAUGCUAAAAACAGAAAUCCUUUCCUGGAGGCGUUGUUUGACUCCCCCCCCCCCUUUGGCAAAAUUUGCUGAUCUGGAGACUCCUAAUGACAAUGUGCAGAAUUGGGUCCUGUGCAGGUGCUUCUUCGCACCCCAACCCGCAGGAGCAGAAAUGGUACCUCACAGGAUCGAUGCCCCUGCUCAACAGCAUCAAUCCAAUGGAGUGUUGGGCGGGAAAGAAAGCCAUGAUAUUGACCUAAACAGAAGGUAGAUCUCAGCCUUUACAAUGCGGUUUUCCUGCUUUGCCUGUCUCUCUUUCCUACCAGAUGCCUGUCUCCCUGACAGUCAUAGAUUGCUCUGAGCCAAUCCAGCCUGACUGACUCACAGCGAUCUGUGAUCAUGUGUACUUGAUUCAUACGAUG